GUUAGGGUGGAGAGUCAGGUGUUAGGGUGGAGGGUCAGGUGUUAGGGUGGAGAGUCAGGUGUUAGGGUGGAGGGUCAGGUGUUAGGGUGGAGAGUCAGGUGUUAGGGUGGAGAGUCAGGUGUUAGGAUGGAGAGUCAGGUGUUAGGGUGGAGGGUCAGGUGUUAGGGUGGAGAGUCAGGUGUUAGGGUGGAGAGUCAGGUGUUAGGGUGGAGAGUCAGGUGUUAGGGUGGAGAGUCAGGUGUUAGGGUGGAGGGUCAGGUGUUAGGGUGGAGAGUCAGGUGUUAGGGUGGAGAGUCAGGUGUUAUGGCCCGUCCACACGGCGGCGUGCGUUGAAGCUUCAACGCUUCUGCCCGUUCACUUUGAAUGGGGUGACGUCACGCU